rnacentral:rRNA from 1 species
GUUUCGAAUCGUUCACAAUGGGGGCAACCCUGAUGGCGCGACGCCGCGUGGGGGAUGAAGGUCUUCGGAUUGUAAACUCCUGUCAUUGGGGACUAAUGGCCAGGCUCAUACCCUGGUUUGAAUUAACCCAAAGAGGAAGCAGUGGCUAACUCUGUGCCAGCAGCCGCGGUAAUACAGAGACUGCAAGCGUUACUCGGAUUCACUGGGCGUAAAGGGAGCGCAGGCGGACUCGUGUGUCGGACGUGAAAUACCGGGGCUUAACCCCGGUGCUGCGUUCGAAACUACGAGUCUAGAGACUUGGAGGGGUAAGCGGAAUUCUUGGUGGAGCAGUGAAAUGCGUAGAUAUCAAGAGGAACACCAACGGCGAAGGCAGCUUACUGGACAAGAUCUGACGCUCAGGCUCGAAAGCGUGGGGAGCAAAAGGGAUUAGAAACCCGUGUAGUCC